rnacentral:rRNA from 3 species
AGAGUUUGAUCAUGGCUCAGAUUGAACGCUGGCGGCAGGCCUAACACAUGCAAGUCGAGCGGUAGCACAGAGAGCUUGCUCUCGGGUGACGAGCGGCGGACGGGUGAGUAAUGUCUGGGAAACUGCCUGAUGGAGGGGGAUAACUACUGGAAACGGUAGCUAAUACCGCAUAAUGUCGCAAGACCAAAGUGGGGGACCUUCGGGCCUCAUGCCAUCAGAUGUGCCCAGAUGGGAUUAGCUAGUAGGUGGGGUAACGGCUCACCUAGGCGACGAUCCCUAGCUGGUCUGAGAGGAUGACCAGCCACACUGGAACUGAGACACGGUCCAGACUCCUACGGGAGGCAGCAGUGGGGAAUAUUGCACAAUGGGCGCAAGCCUGAUGCAGCCAUGCCGCGUGUGUGAAGAAGGCCUUCGGGUUGUAAAGCACUUUCAGCGGGGAGGAAGGCGGUGAGGUUAAUAACCUCAUCGAUUGACGUUACCCGCAGAAGAAGCACCGGCUAACUCCGUGCCAGCAGCCGCGGUAAUACGGAGGGUGCAAGCGUUAAUCGGAAUUACUGGGCGUAAAGCGCACGCAGGCGGUCUGUCAAGUCGGAUGUGAAAUCCCCGGGCUCAACCUGGGAACUGCAUUCGAAACUGGCAGGCUAGAGUCUUGUAGAGGGGGGUAGAAUUCCAGGUGUAGCGGUGAAAUGCGUAGAGAUCUGGAGGAAUACCGGUGGCGAAGGCGGCCCCCUGGACAAAGACUGACGCUCAGGUGCGAAAGCGUGGGGAGCAAACAGGAUUAGAUACCCUGGUAGUCCACGCCGUAAACGAUGUCGAUUUGGAGGUUGUGCCCUUGAGGCGUGGCUUCCGGAGCUAACGCGUUAAAUCGACCGCCUGGGGAGUACGGCCGCAAGGUUAAAACUCAAAUGAAUUGACGGGGGCCCGCACAAGCGGUGGAGCAUGUGGUUUAAUUCGAUGCAACGCGAAGAACCUUACCUGGUCUUGACAUCCACAGAACUUUCCAGAGAUGGAUUGGUGCCUUCGGGAACUGUGAGACAGGUGCUGCAUGGCUGUCGUCAGCUCGUGUUGUGAAAUGUUGGGUUAAGUCCCGCAACGAGCGCAACCCUUAUCCUUUGUUGCCAGCGGUUCGGCCGGGAACUCAAAGGAGACUGCCAGUGAUAAACUGGAGGAAGGUGGGGAUGACGUCAAGUCAUCAUGGCCCUUACGACCAGGGCUACACACGUGCUACAAUGGCAUAUACAAAGAGAAGCGACCUCGCGAGAGCAAGCGGACCUCAUAAAGUAUGUCGUAGUCCGGAUUGGAGUCUGCAACUCGACUCCAUGAAGUCGGAAUCGCUAGUAAUCGUAGAUCAGAAUGCUACGGUGAAUACGUUCCCGGGCCUUGUACACACCGCCCGUCACACCAUGGGAGUGGGUUGCAAAAGAAGUAGGUAGCUUAACCUUCGGGAGGGCGCUUACCACUUUGUGAUUCAUGACUGGGGUGAAGUCGUAACAAGGUAACCGUAGGGGAACCUGCGGUUG